rnacentral:rRNA from 1 species
UGUCACCUACGGGGCGCAGCAGUGGGGAAUAUCGCACAAUGGGCGCAAGCCUGAUGCAGCAACGCCGCGUGAGCGAAGAAGGUCUUCGGAUCGUAAAGCUCUGUCCUUGAGGAAGAAGGAAGUGACGGUACUCAAGGAGGAAGCCCCGGCUAACUACGUGCCAGCAGCCGCGGUAAUACGUAGGGGGCAAGCGUUAUCCGGAAUUAUUGGGCGUAAAGAGGACGUAGGUGGUUUUGUAAGCGCGGGGUGAAAGGCAGUGGCUUAAC